rnacentral:lncRNA from 1 species
UCUCAUUACGGGUGGUUGUGAGCCACCAUGUGGUUGCUGGGAUUUGAACUUCGGACCUUCGGAAGAGCAGUCGGGUGCUCUUACUCACUGAGCCAUCUCACCAGCCCCUGGGCUACUUUCUUACUUCAAAGCUUUUUCUGUAAGUUGUCUCAUUGUGUUCUUCUAUACGUUAAGGUUCUGUGCAGAGGACCCCGUUCAAGCAGGCUAUAUCCAGGUGGGAGACAAUCUUGAGGUUCGCUGUCCUGUGGGCACCCAGUUGCUUCACUGGCACCCAUUGGAACGGUCAUGUCUCCCUGCUUUCCUGACCAUCUUUGCAACGCUUCCCAACCCAGAGCCAGCAGGAUGUUUUUCUGAGUCCUGAUUCCAUGCAAUGACCUGUCGCCCAUUCUCUACCAACACACAGCAUCUCGGUUUCUCUGUGUGUGUCUGUGUUCACAGAAAAUCUCAAACUCAGGUGGUGUCACUGUGCCAGCUCUGUUCUGCUUCCAAAAUAAUUUUAGAUAUUCUUAAAACAUCUCUCAAAAUUGCAUUUCUAUAAAAACUUUACCAUCACCUUGACGAACUGGACAGAAAAACUGCCUGGAAUUUUGAUUGGGAGAGUGAUGGCGCUUCAGAUGAAUUUAUAGAGAAAAGAAGAAAACUGAUGACUGUUUCAAGCAACAUGAACGUCAGACCACUCUGUUUAGACCAACCUUAAUUU